AAAAAAUUCCCUGUCAGGCAGUGCAUGAGUGUGUAGUAGCCACUUGCUGGCUAAUUAACUGUGACAUCACUUGAACAACUUGGUUAAUACGUUCAGUGUUGCUAAAAGUACUUGUCAGCUACAGAGCCACAAACCCUUUCCUUUUUUUGUACACAUAACAGCCUAACAGUAGCAAGCAGGAUUCAGAAGAGAAGCAUCAUCAACUUUGUGAUUACCUGCUACCCUCAAUUAGGAUCAGAUAUAUGCUGAAGCAUGGUAAGAGAGUUGAACCUCCACAAGUAAUUCUGAAAUACAGGUUACAGACCUUGAAGUGCCAGCAGGAAGGGGCUGAGCCUUUGCCAGAACAGAGAGAAGAGUGAGGCUCAAUUCCAUGCUUGCCUCCUGUCAGCCUGCACCCCUUCGCUCACAGGAGUAGCUCCUGAGAGGAGAAUAGUACCUGAUCUAUCCCAUAGAAAAGAACCAUCUGACAGAAAUGUGUUGCAUCUUCCACCUGCUUUCUGCUGCUCUUAUGAAACAGAUGUAUGCACCACAAUAACGAUUUAAAAGAUCAAAUAAUGGGGUUUAAACUAAAAAGUUCUAACUUCUUGAAUAACACAAACCAAAAUUGAUGCUAGCUGUUACAUGUAUGACAGCAGGACAGCUCAAGCGUGGGAGGACCAGGGUGGUUCAGCAGCCACACAUCUAUUACUUUGACCUUUGAGUCCCUUUUAAGAUCCCACAUUUGUCCGACUCCGAAGCGUAAGAAAUGACUCAGUCUUUCUCUUCCUGAUGGUGAUGACAUGGUGCAUCCUGCAGAAUUAAACUGCACCCAGUGCUGGUCAGUGCACCGUGAAAAGGAUUUGCAGAGAUCUAAACUUCAAUCCAAAGUGAUUAUUUAAGCAUAAAACACUAUAGAUGAAGGUUUAUAUUAGCAUAAUACAAACUUGCACGUACGACAUGCAAAAAAACUGAAGGCAAAGUCAGACAAAAGAAGUUUUGCAAGUGCCUGUUUUUUGAGCCUGCAGGCCUUUCAGUCUUUAACUGACUGUUCUGCCCAAAAAUGCCUCCAUGAGGGAUUCCUGUCUUGUGUAACAGAAGAGGGAAAGAGGUGGAGGAGCUGCUGGGUGGGGGCCCCACACGGAACACACCUCCACAGCAGCUCCUCUCAGCCCAGGCGUGUUGUCUCUUGUGCAGUGACUGCUGGCUGGAAAGGGAGGGGAUCUGUUUCAUUUUAAAAAAUUCUUUAAAAAUAAGUGAAGCUGCUGUUUCAGAAUUCAUGAGCAGAAAGAGCGAUCUUAGCCUCCCUACAAAUACCUUAUGCGGAUGGAAUUAUUUCUGUUUCUUAUUUCAAAACACUAUCGCCCUCGUGCUCAAACAAAACACCGAAAUGAAGAAGCAUCCAGGCAGGAGUUCAGCUCCCAGGGUACACCCCACUGCCCCCACAUCUUACUGUACUCCCCCAGCAUUAAUUCAUUUGUGCAGGAGAUUUCUGUUUCCUGCUAAUAACUAUUUCAGUCCCAGUUUUAAUAGAAGGGCUGGGGGAGUAGAAGCAGAAGAAGACAGGGACCGAGAGUUACUCAUCGCAUGUUUAUGAGGCAGUAUCCUAGCUGCACAAAUCAAAGAAAAUGGGAAAUAUAAAAAUAAAAUGUAAUACAAUUACUGACUGUUCACAUUCCUAGGUAUUCCACAGGCAAAAUAAAUGGAUCUGAAAGCCAGCUUCUUGCUGUGUUGUACCACUAAUUCUAUAAACACUGCCUUAAACUCCUCUUACUUAAUGUGGAAAGCAUUAAAACUUAAAGCAGGUUAGUUCAAAUGAGAGCCAAAACAAUCUUGUAGAGAAGUACAGCUAUGUGGUCUCAUACUGAUAGAGCAGAAGCACCGCUUCAAGGGGCUUUCUUCAUAAUAAAGGGGGAAGAACUGUGUGAGCUGUACUUGGAAAUCACAGCCAUAAACAUUUCAAUCAUAAACACUGCUAAUUGCCAUUUGUUUCCCUAAGAAGAAACACGUGGCCAAUACCCGUGCAGUAUAUACACUACUGACAGCUAUGUGCGCUGACUUUUAAUUCUGGCUUUCCACACAUUUCUUCCGCCACUUCUGUUACUUAACCACUGACUGCAACUCCCUUCAGGAAUUAGACAACUGCCAACACUUCCUUUGGAUUUCAGCGUCACUCUUUCCACUCAAUGGGAAAAUACAGUUUCAGCAAAACUGGCCAUUAAAAGCCUGCAAACUUCUCCAGCUUUUCAGCUCCAUGUAAUUCAAUCAAAGUCACACUGUUAAGAAGACAGUAACGUGAAGCCUGUGAACACUGGCAGGCGUGCACAGUAUCACAUCCCCUGUGCUCACAGUUUUUUGUAAUGCAAUGAGAAGCCAGUGGCUGCAGAUCAGCUGUUCCAACAGCUGUACAAAGUUUAAUUCAUAUACAACUGGGACCCAACAAUAUUUUAUCCUUAGUAAAACAUAGCAGAUUUUAGACUUAUCGAUAAGAUAGUUAAUGUAGAAUGAAUACAGUUUUUUCAGCCGUGUCCUCAAUUUGCUGUCAAACAAAUUCUGGCACAAAAGCUUUUUAAGAUACUGGUUUCCAGCAUCUCCUUUCCAAGGGAGGCGGUAUUUCUGAUUAGCAGAUCACCCACCCGUGCACACCUGUGACGCGCAUGCACUGUUACUGUUAUUACUGUUAACUCUUUCCUUACUGGCACCGCUUGGGUUCCUUUUCUGGGAUUUGGUAAUUGGUGGUGCAUUUCAAGGCAGGCACUGGGAACGGCAGCAUUUCAUGUAAUCACCCGCUCUAGCAAGACCCCAAUUCCUACUUUUUGUGUUUGUAACUCAGAAGAAUGACAGCGUUUUCUUGGUAAGAUGCAGAGCGGUGAAGGGGUCAGGUAAGGACUUCACGUUCGGUUACUGUGGGCGUUUUGCAGCUGGCUGCACAGCGCUGCACGGCGAUCCAGGCUGCCCCGACACUGGGACCCAGAGUCCCUUCAGAACACACUGACCAGACAGCGGCGUGUACGGAAGCAGCUUUCCGCAUAUUCCCAUCUUGCAGGAGAUGCACGCUUUCACUUACACAACGUUGUCAGAGGUUACCAUGCUUAUCGAAAACGAAGUGAACACAAGGUUGCGUUGCCUCAUCAUACUGCUGAGAGAUGCUUUGGUGAAACUCCAUUCCUUUGUUGCAGCUGGCUUGGAUUCCGUGUCUGAGAAGGUCUGACACAGCAAGCACGCAAGAUGUCGCAGAACAGCUUCCUUUUUGAAGAUGCACAGUCAGGAAGCAAUAUGAUUUCUGCUACAAAGACUGGGGCUUUAUCCUGGAAGGAGGAGAACUCUUCAGCAACCACUGGGAAGAACAGUGAGGAGAGCCAGAGAGGACAUCAAAAGACAAACAAAGCCAGCUAUCCAUGCACAGAUGGGUUCUGUUCCUGUAACACCCCCAGCACAAGUACUUCACCUUUUCUCAGAGAACACCUGCAUGCUCAGGUUAACAUCACUGGUUCUUCACCAGGCCUUUGGUACUUCUGCGUUCGCCCUCUGAUCUGUUAUCUUACAGGUUGUAUCACUUCUGGCUACAUUCUAACAGAUCCAUGCAAGCUUUCCAAACCCACUUGUCCGUGAUUGCUCUUCUAGACCUAACAAAAAAUGCUCCAAGUCUGCAGCAGCGUCUCUUCCUAUUCUGAAUGACAGCACUUUUACAACUGCAGCAAGAGUUGCGAGACCUCACUGCUGCUUCUGUUUCUCAGCCUACGACAAGAACGAUAUAUUUCACGUCUUUUAAGGGACUACACAACUGCCCGCACGUUUUUGCGGACAGAGAACUUACCAGCCC